AGCCCCCCUACACAAACAGCAGCCUAUGCUUUGGAUCAGCAGAUACUGCUAACAUUGCUUGAACCAGCAGCCUGAGAUCCACUGCAAUUUUAUUCUAAUAGGCAUCAUCUAAUUAGGUAGUGUGGAUAGGCAAAGUUCCAAUGAUACAUAACUUAUCAUAAUCCAUAUGAAAGCAGUUUAUUUCAAAGGAAGCUGACAGCAGAGAAAAGAUGAGCCACAGGGACAAAAAUGGAGCCUUUUAAUGAUUUCAGAACUGAGGUAUUACCAGAUAUAGAAAAAGGGUAGGCAGGCCCAGGAAGAACAGACUCAGGAGGAGGCACGACAAAGCCAUUGGAGAAUAGAUAUGCAAAUGUUCCAACACAUUUCAAGUAUUUACAUCACUGGUAGGAUAUUUCCUACGUACCCAAAGCACAUGGCAGAAAUGUUAUAACCUAUCACGAAUUAGAAUAAUUCAGUUAUGUAUUCUGCAUAUCAGACAGUCUCUUAUUUAGGGUAUUUAAACACUGUAAUCUGCAAGAAACAGCUGUCUUUUUUGCACUAAAUGCUUUCUAAACAAUUUUUUCCAUAUCCUCAGUUCACUUCUGACUGAAUUAAUCUGGCUUUUCUGAGUUUGUAUGUCACCCCCUUCUCUUUUUUUAACAAGUUGGGUAAGAAGAACAAAAGAAACAGAAAGAUUUGCAAUUUCAUCAGGUAAUGUUAACUAUGCAGUAGAAGAUGUUGGUUUGUUAUAAAAGCAGUAACAAAGGCACUCAGAUCCUGUGAAGUAAUGCUUAAAAUGCCAUUUGCUGGAAUGAGCACUACAAAGAGAGGACAGUACAGUCUCACAUCCCUUCAGAUCCCUCAGCUGUGCAGCACAGAAUGGGCUCCAAUCCACACACACAUCUUGCCUAUGGAAGGCCACCUUAUUUGAGUUUUUACAGGACUUUCCUACCAGAAAACAACCUCUGCUCACUACUUCAAAGGUCAGUCAGAAAGGAUGUUCACAUGAGAACUUCCAGCUGCACUUUGAGAUAAAAGGCAAGGACACCCAAGUGGCAUCACUGCCAGCACUGAGUGGGAGCUUCCUGCAGCUCCUCUGUUAUGGCUACCUGGCCAAGGUUUCCUGCAGCCAGAGACAAACACAGCACAAGGACAGCACAGCCCGGGCCUGGGCACAUUCAGGUUAAUUUUUAACUAUUUCGUGGAUCCCAGCUCAGAAACAUUUUAAACACACAGUCAGCUCCCUGCUCCUUCCUAAGUUUGGAAUAACUUCCCAGGGUUGCUCCAAUUUGUAAGCCUCACUAUAUAUUUUUCUUCAAUCUUGUCUCCUUAUCCAAGCUCAACUUGUACCAUUUUUAAGAGAGGGAGGAGAGCAGCAAGAUCCAAGCAUUGGUUAACUCUGACUUCAGAUGGAGCUUCUGUCUCUUGAGUCUAGAACAGUUUCCGAAGAGCCAUUUAUUCUGUGACCACAUAAUAAUGCAGGUCUGCUCUAGAGAAGAGGUAUCAGUUGCCAGAGACACUGUAUGGACUACGUGAACCACUGCCUCAUUUGGCACAGCAAUCCCUAACCCCAGAGGUGGAAUUCUGUUUACUGGAAUACCAGCUGCAUUCACACAUACAGACUGGUAUUUCUGGAGAUGUCAAAAUAUUUCAAAGCAAUUGUUUUGGACUUCCUCUGGAUGUCUUUAUUAAGCACAUAAGCAUCUAAUAAUUUGAAAUCUACAAAGCUCAUGACUUCAGCUCCAAGAUUUCUACCUUCUUAAAUCUUUCCUGUUAGGACAUUUCCAUUCAGAGAUUUGUUUGUUUAAAAAGGAUCUUUUGAUCCUUUUUACCAACCAUUAAGACAAAUUCUUUCAAAUUUACAGCUGAGAGGUUCCAAUUAAAACCCAUUAUUACUUCAGGUGAACCAGCAAUUUCUAAAGUAAGCUUCUAUUAUCUUCUACAUUAUAUUCCAUUUCAUACCUUGGGAGUUGUAAUUUGUAUUUUUAUGACUGUGGAGCAUAAAGGGUGUCUGUCAAUUGUUCAUUGAGAACUCCUUGUAAAGCAUGUUUAGAAUGCAGUGAGAUAUAUUAAUAGUAUUUCCUCCCACAAUAUGUUAAAAUUUGUAUCUUUCUGAUUCUCUUUCAUUUAUGUUGUCUCAUGUCUCUGUGAUAAUUCUUUUUCUUUGUUGAUGAGCCUAAGGGAUUUGUGGAAACAUCAAAUCUUGUCACCUGCCAGCUCAUCUCAGCACCUCAAUAGUCUGGGAUGUAGUCUAAGUCUGAAAAAGUGCCUUCUCUUUGGCAUGAAAACCUGAAUAUUUAUCCUCUCUCAUUUUUGUGUAGCCAGUUCCCGCUCUGUGGCAAUGCCUUUCCAUCCUGUUCUCACAGACUGUGCUAGGCACGCUCAUGGGUUUACACGCCAUUGUGCAAUCCAAGUACAGCCCUCCAUAGACCAAAGCACACAUUUCCCCUUGGUGCCAGCAACUCAAGCCACACUAACACUACCUUGCAAGAGUGCCUUAUGAAUGUGGAAAGCAGAAGCAGGCAAGCACCAAUACAGGGGAUGGCAACAGCAGCAAUGAAUGUUCUAUGUCACAACUGCAAGAGCUGGCACCAGGCAUGAAACCAACACUUGGGCUGAGUCUGACCAAGGCACCCCAGCCAGGAAGAUUCACCUUCACACUCAGCUUCACUGGGCUCAGCAACUGCAGCAAGGGUCAACUGGGCAGCUGGCAUCUGUCACUGCACAAACUACAAAGUGCUGUAUUUUAGGCCAGCCCUAAAGCACAUUUUCCAUAUAAAGAAAAAACUCCAGAAAUAAUUUUAAUACAAAAUGUUUUUAUUGUUUUUGAAAACAUUUAAAAAACAAUUUUUGAGCACUUUCAAUAAAAAAAAUAACUGAAAUGCUACUGCAAUAUUCAACUACUGUAGUUUCAGCAGUACAACAGACAACAAAACACUGGGGAAGAGGGGAGAAACUGGAUUUCCUGCACUAAAUGAAAAUGUGGAACAGGGAUUUUUCUUUCCUUAUGGUGCAGUAAAUAAAGCACAGUAUAGUACAAGACUAUUAUAUGAUCCUCAGAUGCACUGCACAAGAAACGCUUUCCUUCUUUUCAGUUCGGAAGUCAGUGCUUAUUGCAAUUAUUUGCAAAUUAUUUACUUCAUGAAUUCUUAUCAUGAUAAAAUGAUGCAAAAAUGUUUUUCAACACCAGAACAAUAAAAAAUAAUCCAAGAAAGGAACAUAUUCAACAAUAACUAAGCUGAAUUAGUUAACAUAAAAAAGUAAAUAACUUGUGAAUAACUAUGCUCACCUGGUUAACACUGAACCAGCUUCAAUACAGCAAAAGAAUAAAAAAAAUAAAAGUGGUUACAGGAAUAUAUCUAGUACUGUACAAGAUUAAGUCAUUAACACUCAUGCACGUUUUGUGAUCAUGUAUUAACAUGGUGAAGCAAACUAAACUUAAUUUUUCCUGCUGCAAUAUUCUCAUGUAAGAGAAUCAAAAAUAGAAAUAUCUCAUUGAGAUCAAUGCACAUUGCUACAUAAGACAAUUUCACCUGUCACUUGUAAUGACAUUUUGCCUUUUAAUAAUGAAACACAUUAAAAAGUUUUUUUUUUUUCAUUUUGCCUUUUUUUUAAAUCUGUGGGCCGUAUUUGUUGCAUUUAUCCUAAGGAAUGUGCCUGCCACAGGUUCAACAGAAUUUUAGUGCAAUAUAUGAACCCAGAAAGUUUGCUGGACUAACCAAGCAAUCAAAUUUAAAGUGUUUGCUGCAAUACUGUACACAGGGUACAAAUUCACUAGUUUGUAUACUUUAGCAAAAACUGCUAUCAAAAUAAUUUAUUUCUUAUGUUAGUAGGAAGCCAAUAAUGUAAACAAGGGGUCAGAACUGUCUCAAAUUCAAAGUUUUGGAGUAUCUGACAAAGACAGGCUUCCAUUUGUUAGGAUCACAGAAUUUUCCUUUGGGUAUUGCAUACUUUGGUGUGCAGUAGUGCUCUGUCUCAAUGUAUCAUAAA